rnacentral:lncRNA from 1 species
GAUCCUUUCAAUCCAAAUAAUCAGUUUGGUCAAUCCUCUGCUAUGAUCCUUUCAAUGCCCCAAAUUAUCAAUUUGAUCAGUAUUCUAAUGAAGCAAAUUAUUUUCUGAUCAUUCUUCUGGCAGCUUCAAUCCUUUUGAGGGUUAGUACAACCAAUUUGGUCAGUCUUCCAAUCCUUUAGACACAAACAACCAAUUUGGUCAGUUUUCCAAUCCUUUAGAAGAUCAAUACCCUAACGCAAACAACCAAUUUUGAUGCUCUGCCGCAUGUCCUUGUCCAUGUUGCUUCAACUGCAGGUCAGCAUGACGCUCUAUCACUGGCCACCUCCUUUCACCGGGUAUUAAACUACAUAAUUCUGGAUAAUAGUCAACAUGGUCAAUGCAGUUAAAAGUUUGUUGUAUAUCUUCCUGCUGUGGAGUCCAAUACAUUCUCUUUGUUUUAAUUGAUAACAUUGUUGGGUUAUAGGCCUCUAGGCCCAAUUCACUAAGGCCCAAAAGAGGUCCGGCCCACUAUUUGAACUCCACCCACGCUCCUAGUCUGCAACGGUCGAAGGGCGGAGAUCCCGCCUCAUUAACACACCAUUACCUCCCUCCCGCAUCGGACGGAAACGUUACAAAGCCCAGGUUCAUCUCCCCCCUAUAUAAAGGAGGUAAAUCAAGGGUAAAGGACAUUCACAUACAUAUUCACAAAUACUCUCAUACACACACACUUACGCUUGCAGUUCCAAAGCCCCUUCUUAGAGCCAAUAACUUAUUCUCACGCCGGAGGUGAAUCGGGGGGACAAUCCCUCGCAUUCUUCUCUAUUUCAGGUCACUUUCAGACUUCGGCAUCCGGCAGAACUUUGGCUCCAACAUUGGCGCCGUCUGUGGGAACUGCAAGUAGAAUUUCUUAUAAAUCAACACCAUGACAAACACAACCGAACAAACCCCUGGAAACACCUCCAACCCAAACCCCGGUUUUGACUUUGGCAACAGUCCCGAAGGGCUGCUGCCCACCCCCGAGGAACAACAGCAGAUGCUGCUGAAAUGGCGAGAAGAGCAGGCUGCUAAAGCCCAAUCUUCCAAGACCAAAGAGCAAGAAACUGCCCGAUUAGCCAAGAAGAGGGAAGCCGAUGAACUACGGCUGAAGGCCCUCCAGCUACAAAGGGAAGAGAUUGAGCUCCAGGAGAGAGCCCUCCGAGAAGCCUUGGAGGCCGAAGGAGAUCGAGCGCCAGAAGGCGAAGGAAACAAGAAGAGGAAUCGGGAAGACCAAGACGGGUCUUCGGACUCCGAGUCGCACUCCCGAGGGCCUCGUCACAGGCAUGUCACACCUUCGGAUUCCGAAGGGGAGGAAGGCCCCCACGUUAGGGACCGCCUCCGCCGAAUGGAGAAGGCCAUGUUUGGGGACAAGACGUUGACCCACGAACCAGUGAUAGUCGAAGAGAUCGAGCAAUAUCGGCCGCCCCCGGGGAGACAGUUCCCGAAAAUGAAUGAAUUUAACGGGAAGGGCGACCCGAUCGAUCACUGCGACAAGUACGAGUCCCUUAUGACCGGAAUGGGGCAUUGCGACGUCAUGCUAUGCAAAAUGUUCAAGACCUACCUGAAGGGGUCUGCUACGAUGUGGUACCGAUCCCUGCGUCCAAGAUCGGUCAGUUCUUAUGAUCAGUUGAAGCGCAAGUUCUUGAGGCACUACUCUCACUUGUGCCGAAGAGAGAAGGAUACAGAGGCCCUUAUUCAUUGCCGACAGAGACCUAAUGAGGAGCUGGGCGAUUACUUGGCUAGGUUCAAGGAAGAAGCUGGGAUGGUCACCAACCUGGAUAAGGUGAAGGCUGCAGGAUUCCUGACGGCUGGUCUGGAUCCGGUGAAGGGUAAGAAGCUCCGAUCAUCUUUGUACGAUAUACCCCCCAAGUCGUUGAAUGACAUUUACUUGCGGGGGGAGAGCAUCAGAAGGAAGAUGGAGUCCAUUGGGGGACAUAAGAACGACCGGAAAGAUGAUCGGUACAGUUCCCGCUCGGACGGCAAAGGAAAAAGAAACGAUGGCUACCGAGGCAGAAGAGAUGAAAGGGAUGAGAAGUUGGACAGAGGGGCCGAGCGAAGGAGAGAUAGAGACAGCACUGUGUUCACUCCUCUGAACACAUCUGUCUCCAAGAUUCUGAACGAGAUUAAGGGGAAGCCAGGAUUCGUUCGACCACCAAAGAUGAAGAUCCCAGAUUACAAGAAAAACUCUGAUAAGUACUGUGACUAUCAUCGGGACAACGGGCAUAAUACUGAUGAAUGCUACCACUUGAAGAAGUUAAUAGAAAGGAUGGUCAAGGCUGGUGAUUUGAACCAGUAUGUUAAGGAUCUGAGGGAUCGGUUGGGUCCCAAAGAAGAUAAAGGGAAGGCGCCCGAAGAGGGUGAGAGGUACAGAGGUGAGGUCCGAACGAUUUUUGGGGGAACAAUCCUGGACCGAAGUAGCAAGACAGCCAAGAAGAAGUACGCCCGACAGGUCUACAACCUCUACAGCAUCAAUUCCACCAAACAGUCGUAUCCUAUAAUGUUCUCACAAGAAGACUAUGAGGAUGUUAUGCUGCCGCACGAGGAUCCGUUGGUCAUUAAUCCCGUGAUCGGUCAAAAUAAGAUCUGGAAGGUCCUGGUUGAUGGGGGAAGUUCUGUUAACGUCCUCUACUACAACACCUACCAGAAGAUGAACCUAGAAGGCAAGCAGAUCGAUACCUGCUAUGAGGCACCUCUCUAUGGGUUCGGCAAUCAGCCCGUCCCGAUCGAAGGUACGAUCCACUUGCCCUUGUUGCUCGGUAAAUCCCCUUAUACUGUGGAAAAACAGGUCAAGUUCUAUGUGGUCCGAGUCGAGAGUCCUUUCAAUGCCAUCUUGGGGAGACCUGUUCUCACUGCUUUCGAAGCCAUUGCCUCUAUUCCCCACCUCAAGUUGAAGUUCCCGACCGAGAAGGGAGUGGGGGAGAUGAGAGGUGAUCAGAAGGCCGCUCGGAUCAUUAUGCUGGAAGACUUGGAGAAAGACAAGGAUCUAGGCGGCGCCGAAGGAAACAAACGGCGCCGAGCCGAAGAUGGUCCUGGGGGCAGCGGCCAUGCCCUACACAUUGAGUUGGAAAAGUUUGGAAAUGACCUCUCAAACCCGAUAGCCGAACCGGGCACUGAGACCGAAGAGGUGGAAUUAUAUGCAGGGUGCUCGGGAAAGAUGGUUCGGAUCGGUAAAGAUAUGGAACCAGGGCUGAAGGAAAAGGUGAUUGAUGUGGUCCGUCGGUACCAUGAUGUUUUUGCCUGGGGGCCCGAAGAUAUGCCGGGGUUGGAUGAGUCGAUCGCUCGGCACAGGCUAAAUGUUCAUCCACAGGCUGUGCCCGUUAAGCAGAAGAAGAGGAACUUCGCUGUGGAAAGGCAGAAGGUGAUUGAGGCCGAAGUGGAGAAGUUACUGGAGGCCAAGUUUAUUGAAGAAAUUGAGUAUCCUGAGUGGUUGGCGAAUGUGGUGGUGGUCAAAAAGUCAAACAACAAAUGGAGAAUGUGUGUCGAUUAUACCGACCUCAACAAAAAUUGCCCGAAGGAUCAUUACCCUCUGCCGAACAUCGAUCAGCUGAUAGAUGCCACCUCUGGCUAUCAAAUACUCAGCUUUUUGGACGCGUUUUCAGGCUAUCAUCAGAUCGCCAUGGAUGCCGAGGAUAUUCCUAAGACAACAUUCAUCACCCCGAAGGGAACCUAUGCUUACAUCAAGAUGCCCUUCGGUCUGAAAAAUGCGGGGGCCACUUUUCAAAGGAUGGUGAACAAAGUCUUCGCCGAUCAGAUAGGCCGAAACAUGGAAUGCUACGUCGAUGAUAUGAUAGUAAAGUCCUUGUUUCGAGAUCACGCCGAUGACCUCAAAGAAUGCUUUGAGACCCUAAGACGGAACAACAUGAAGAUCAACCCCGCCAAGUGCACCUUCGGGGUUUGUAGUGGCAAGUUCCUAGGGUAUAUGGUCAGUGCAAGGGGGAUCGAAGCGAAUCCUGAGAAGAUAAAGGCAGUGUUAGAAAUGGAAGCCCCGAAGACCAUUCGGGACAUUCAGAAGUUAACGGGGCGACUGGCAGCCCUCCGCAGGUUCAUCUCUCGGUCGGCGGAAAAGGCGCUCCCUUUCUUUGAAGUUUUGAAGGGAGCGAAGAAUUUUGAGUGGGGGCCGAACUGUAUAAAGGCCUUCGAAGAAAUAAAGGAAUAUCUGGUUAAAGCACCCCCACUGCUGAGGCCCGAUCCGAAGGAGACUCUCCAGCUGUACUUGGCAGUAAGUGACCGAACCCUUGGUGCGGUCUUAGUGAAGGAACACGAGAAGAACCAACAUCCGGUCUUCUAUGUGUCUCAUAUGUUGAGGGAUGCCGAAACCCGAUACCCGAAUGCCGAGAAGUUCGCAUAUGGGCUGGUCAUGGCCUCCCGAAAAUUGCGACACUAUUUCCAAGGGCGUACAAGUGGUCACCGACCAACCUUUGAAGAAGAUCCUCAGCCGACCGGAGGCUUCGGGCAGAGUCGUCGCCUGGUUUGUAGAAUUGGGGGAAUAUGACUUAGAGUAUGUUCCCCGAACAGCCAUCAAAGCCCAUGCCUUGGUUGACUUCAUGGUGGAGUGCAUUUUUUCGGGGCCGAAGGAUUUGGAGCCGAAAGAGCAGCUCUUCCGGACUCCAGGAAAGUGGAAGUUGUUUGUAGAUGGGUCGGUGGCCGGGUCAAAGUGUGGGGCCGGAUUGAUCCUUUCUAGUCCCGAUGGAUUUGAGAUUUGUCAAGCCAUCUGAUUCACUUUCCCUUUGACCAACAAUGAGGCCGAAUACGAAGCCCUCCUGGCAGGAAUGGGACUAGCAAAGAAUCUGGAAGUAAGGCAUUUAAGGGCUUUCAGUGACUCCAUGCUGGUCGUCAAGCACUUUUCCGGGGAAUAUGAACAGAAAGAGCCUCGAACGAAGGCUUACGCCGCUAAGGUACGGGAACAAACUCAGUUUUUCGAAACAUUCGAAUUAAGCGCCAUCGGUCGGGAGGACAAUGGCCGAGCCGACGCUCUCUCUCGCUUAGCCUCGGCCGAAACACAAAAUUUGACGGGGUCCAUCUACUUGACGGAGGUGGAAACAUUCGAAUUAAGCGCCAUCGGUCGGGAGGACAAUGGCCGAGCCGACGCUCUCUCUCGCUUAGCCUCGGCCGAAACACAAAAUUUGACGGGGUCCAUCUACUUGACGGAGGUGAAAAAGCCUUCGGUCGACAAGAAAGCUUGCCUGGAGAUUCAUCAAGGCAUAAAUUGGAUGACCCCCAUCAGAACCUACUUAGAGAAGGGGUUCUUGCCCUUAGAGAAGAAGGAAGCCCAAAAGAUAAAAUACCGAGCAGCUAGCUACACACUGAUCGGGGGCCGACUCUUUAGGCGAUCAGUCUCUCAGCCCCUGCUCCGAUGCUUGGAUCCAGAGGAACAGCUUCUAGCCUUGGAGACAGUUCACGAAGGAAUCUGUGGCGAACACCUGGCCGGCCGAUCCCUAGCCCUAAAGAUACUCCGACAGGGCUUCUUCUGGCCGACCCUUAGAGAAGAUGCAGCCAACUUUUCAAAGAAAUGCCGACAGUGUCAAAUCCACAGCAAUGUUCCGAAGCAACCCCCCGAAGAAAUGACUUCGGUCCUCAGCCCAAUACCAUUCUCUAUGUGGGCCAUCGACAUAGUGGGAAUCCUACCGACCAGCACCCGGCAAGCCAAAUACUGCAUAGUGGCCAUCGACUACAUGACAAAGUGGGUCGAAGCCCGACCGCUCUCAGCUAUCACCGAACAAGCCGCCAAGAAAUUCUUCCUGGAGCAAAUAAUGGUGAGGUUNNNNNNNNNNNNNNNNNNCGGGAGGACAAUGGCCGUGCUGAUGCACUCUCUCGCUUAGCCUCGGCCGAAACCCAGAAUUUGACGGGGUCCAUCUACUUGACGGAGGUGAAAACGCCUUCGGUCGACAAGAAAGCUUGCCUGGAGAUUCAUCAAGGCAUAAAUUGGAUGACCCCCAUCCGAGCAUAUCUAGAAGAGGGGUUCCUGCCCUUAGAAAAGAAGGAAGCCCAAAAGAUAAAGUACCGAGCAGCUAGCUACACACUGAUCGGGGGCCGACUCUUUAGGCGAUCAGUCUCUCAGCCCCUGCCCCGAUGCUUAGAUUCAGAGGAACAACUUCUGGCCCUGGAGACAGUUCAUGGAGGCAUCUGCGGCGAACAUCUGGCCGGCCGAUCCCUAGCCCUAAAGAUACUCCGACAGGGAUUCUUUUGGCCAACCCUCAGAGAAGAUGCGGCCAACUAUUCAAAGAAAUGCCGACAGUGUCAAAUCCACAGCAAUGUUCCGAAGCAACCCCAGAAGAAAUGACUUCGGUCCUCAGCCCAAUACCAGUCUCCAUGUGGGCCAUCGACAUAGUGGGAAUCCUACCGACCAGCACCCGGCAAGCCAAAUACUGCAUAGUGGCCAUUGACUACAUGACAAAGUGGGUCGAAGCCCGACCGCUCUCAGCUAUCACCGAACAGGCCGCCAAGAAAUUCUUCCUGGAGCAAAUAAUUGUGAGGUUCGGCAUACCGAUGGUGUGUGUAUCCGAUAAUGGCACUCAGUUUGUUGGGAGGAAGUUCAAAGAAUUCUUGGCCAGCUUCGGCAUUCAACAAAGGUUCAGCUCGGUCGGUCAUCCCCAAGGAAACGGGGCGAUCGAGGCAGCUAACAAGAUCAUCUUUCACGGAAUCAAGAAGCGCCUUGGAGAAGCUAAGGGACUGUGGGCCGAAGAGCUCCCUUGGGUCCUGUGGGCAUACCGAACCACUCCUCGCUCUUCGACAGGAGAAACGCCGUUUCGGUUGGCUUAUGGGACCGACUCGCUUGUUCCAGUUGAGGUUGGCCUGGAAUCUUACCGAACCCAGGUCUUCAACCCCGAUACCAAUGAAUAUGGCCUCCGAGGCAACCUGGAUCUUCUAGAAGAGGGAAGAGAAGCCGCCCAUCAGAGAAACGUCCGAUACCAACAGCAAGCAUCUCAAUAUUAUGACUCCGGUAUCCGAAAGCGUUCCUUCAGAGUUGGGGACAUGGUUCUCCGGGAUCUGGCAACUUCUAUGCCAACAAAGCAGGGCAAGCUUAUGCCGAACUGGGAAGGACCUUACACUGUAGUCGAGAUCGUUCGGCCGGGAACCUACAAACUAGCAGCUUCGGAUGGGAGCCCCAUUAAGAAUACUUGGCACGCUUCCCAACUCCGGAAAUACUAUCAGUAAGGCUUCCCGCCCGAACAUUUCACUUUCCUUUUUAAAAUUCCAGUUGUGUAAUUAUUUCCCUUAUGAUGAAUAAAAGUUCCUAUUUCAAAUUUUGGAUAGUUGUAACUUGUUUAACACUCCGAUCGAUCCCGUAACUCGGGGCAACCUGAUUAAAAUACGGGACCGAAAGAGAUGGCCGUGAUUAACCUAAAUAUUUGCACGAUUGUUUCUAUCUCUAAAUGGGGCCGAUCGAAUUCCUAACUUAAAGAUAGUAACAAUCUCCAAAUAUUGGGGGAAUCCAGAGGCAUUGUGCUGAAGCCGAUUUUGAGGCUAAAGAUGUACAACUUGAAAAUUAUGAUAACAUGUAUCGAGACUCUUCGGUCGGAGACAUACAUAACAUUAACUUGAACUUAAAAUAAACAUGUAUCGAGACUCUUCGGUCAGAGACAUACAUAAAAUUCAUCCAACAUGUAUCGAGACCGAUCGCUCGGCCUAAGCAAUGCAACGAAGUUUGAAACAUGUAUGGAGACAAUUUAAGUCGAAGACAUACAUCAGCAUUAUCUAAGCUAUAUCGAAGACAUGCAUCGGAAAUAAGAGCGUGUAUUGAGAUAAAAGCCAAAUAUUCAAAUACGAAGCCCGAAGGCAGAAAUAGUUACAGCCCGAGGGCGGAUCGUUUUUACAAAUAAUGGCCCGAAGGCCAACGAAAGUACAAAAUUAAAAUUACUCCGAGUAAUCAGUCUCGGGAUCGGAUGAAACGACAAGGGGUUCGUCCGGAUCCUCGCGGCCGACCGGAUCAGAAGCGCCUUCAUCAAGGAGCAACUUGUGAUCCAAGCCCUCCUUGUGGGCCCGACGAACCGCCUCAUCGUACCCGAUCUCGAGGAACCUAUCCUCGGUCUUCUCCAGAAGCUUUUUUGCUUUCUUCUCCUUCCUUCAGGCGGUUUUUAACGCCAAAUUGCGACGCUGCACCCUCCUGGUCAGAGUGUCGACCUGCCCCUUCAAUCGGCCCUCCGACUCACGAAGCUCUUUCACGUCCUGAUGGGCCGCGUCCAGCUCCGUCUUCAGGGCCGCAAGAGUGCUCUCGGCAAGAUUGGCCCGAAUAGUAAGGGCGUUGACCCCGGCCAUCUGCUUCUGCAUAUCUUGGACCUUGUCGGUCACCGCCGCCGCCCAAGGAGAAGCCUGCACAAAAUUUAGACANGAUUGUUUCUAUCUCUAAAUGGGGCCGAUCGAAUUCCUAACUUAAAGAUAGUAACAAUCUCCAAAUAUUGGGGGAAUCCAGAGGCAUUGUGCUGAAGCCGAUUUUGAGGCUAAAGAUGUACAACUUGAAAAUUAUGAUAACAUGUAUCGAGACUCUUCGGUCGGAGACAUACAUAACAUUAACUUGAACUUAAAAUAAACAUGUAUCGAGACUCUUCGGUCGGAGACAUACAUAAAAUUCAUCCAACAUGUAUCGAGACCGAUCGCUCGGCCUAAGCAAUGCAACGAAGUUUGAAACAUGUAUGGAGACAAUUUAAGUCGAAGACAUACAUCAGCAUUAUCUAAGCUAUAUCGAAGACAUGCAUCGGAAAUAAGAGCGUGUAUUGAGAUAAAAGCCAAAUAUUCAAAUACGAAGCCCGAAGGCAGAAAUAGUUACAGCCCGAGGGCGGAUCGUUUUUACAAAUAAUGGCCCGAAGGCCAACGAAAGUACAAAAUUAAAAUUACUCCGAGUAAUCAGUCUCGGGAUCGGAUGAAACGACAAGGGGUUCGUCCGGAUCCUCGCGGCCGACCGGAUCAGAAGCGCCUUCAUCAAGGAGCAACUUGUGAUCCAAGCCCUCCUUGUGGGCCCGACGAACCGCCUCAUCGUAUCCGAUCUCGAGGAACCUAUCCUCGGUCUUCUCCAGAAGCUUUUUUGCUUUCUUCUCCUUCCUUCGGGCGGUUUUUAACGCCAAAUUGCGACGCGGCACCCUCCUGGUCAGAGUGUCGACCUGCCCCUUCAAUCGGCCCUCCGACUCACGAAGCUCUUUCACGUCCUGAUGGGCCGCGUCCAGCUCCGUCUUCAGGGCCGCAAGAGUGCUCUCGGCAAGAUUGGCCCGAAUAGUAAGGGCGUUGACCCCGGCCAUCUGCUUCUGCAUAUCUUGGACCUUGUCGGUCACCGCCGCCGCCCAAGGAGAAGCCUGCACAAAAUUUAGACAAGUCAAAAAACAUAUCCGGAGCCUAUAUACACAAAAAGGUGAAGAACGGUGGCACUUACCAAAGAAAGGAAGCACAUCAGCUGCUCGCAAGCUUGCAAAGCAGUCGCCGACUCGUAAGUUCCUCGGUCGGCCGGCAAGACCUGCGAUCGGCAGAGAUCGCCCGCGACAUCCUUAAUCCGGUCAGGAGCAAGGAUCGCAAUUGAGUCGGUCGACAGAACCGACCACUCCGGGACAUAAGGCCGGACUUCAGAAGAGCCGUCCGGCCUAUUCCUCUUCCUGGAAGCUUCCACAGCCGACACCUCCUCAACCUCGGAGGUUUUCUCGACUGGUCCAUCCAUACGACCGACCUCGGGAGUCUUCUCCCUGGAAGCAUCGGCCUGAACUAUGGCCCCGAUCGUCGUCUCACCGCGAGCCUUUGCUUCGGCCUCCUUCCUGGCCGCCAUUGCCUUCGCGGUCUUCCGCUUCAGGGCCUCGGUUCGGGAAGACACUGCGCAAGAAAACAAGUGUUAAAACGGCACAAAAUAUAAACGAAGUAAUCAACUAUUAAAGGAGAAGCAUUGAAGCAAAAGAGAGAAUACCGUCACUACCCCAAAGAGUGAAGAGCCACUCCUUCUCCCGACUCAUCGACAACAAAAUCUGGUUCGGUUCCUGGACUUUGCUCAACUUUUCAAAGUCCUUCAGAUCCUUGCCGAUCAGAACGGGAGUAGUGAUGAUCGAGGGGUCAACCUCUCUCCAAGUCGAGAACUAGUGGAUCGAGUGACCCCCCAAGUAGAACCAGCGCUCGUGGGUCCCUUUGUUGCUUGAGUUGGUCUCACACCAAUUCGGCCGGCCAGUCUUACGGCCGAUGGUAUAGAAACCGUUACUCUUGGAAUUUUUCUUGAAAUCAUGAUGAUUCCAGAAAAGAGCCGGCCGAGGAGACACGCCAGCCAUCAGACACCGAUGCUGGAAGACGUUUAUAUACGUAAACCCAUUCGGGUCCAACUGGCCCAGGGCGAUCCCCGACUGCUUUAGUAGCUUCUUCAGCAAGGGGAGCAUCGGAAGCCGGAAGCCGCACUUGAAGGCGUUUUCGGAGAUGCCUACGCACCUAUGGCCCUCCUCCGACUCGGGAGUUUGAUAGAUACAGUCGUUCGCGACGGCCGGGUAAAUGUCCCAUGAUCGGUGAAUUUGAUAUUUCAGCCGAAAAGACUUCAAGUCGGCCUCGGUCAGCAACGACGAAAAAUUGGCCAUAGGAAACUUCAGUGCAUCACUGAAGUGAUCCGCAGCCGAAUAAGAUGUCCCGACUAUGUCACCCGACCGAUCCAUUUGCCUGCAAACGAGAGAAGGCAAACAUAAGCCAUGUACUCGGAAAGAAAGAAAAAGAAGAAAAAGAAGCAAGCCCGAGUACAGAGGGCCGAAUCGGGUCGGGCCGACGGGACUUAAUAAGACCUAACCCUAAAAGUAGCCCCCUUACCACGACAGCAAAAGGAGUAAAAAUCACGGCAAGUCCCCGAGUCUAAAACUCGAGAACCGCCGGAAAACCCCAACCACAAUUCUAAUCUACGACAACUCAACAAUAUGGCAUCGGCAUUACAAUGUAGACAAACAGCCAAAGAAAUCAACCAAGAUCACCGAGCCGACGAGAUACCCCCGCCGGAAUCUACCAUACAAACAAGUUCCUAGAAUCUAAAGCAGGCCAUGGAAACGGAGUAAAACCUAAAAAGCUUACAAGGAAGAAAGAAGAACUUACUUGUUGGAGGAAAAACGAAAGGAAGUAGUAGAGAGAAGCCGGAAAUAAGAUUGCCGCCGGUCACCAACUGGAAUUGGGAGAGAAAGAACUCGAGAGAGCGCGGAGUCGCAAAGAAAGUGAAGAGUGUUUGGAAAUAUGGAAAACCGAGUAAUGAUUUGUAUUUAUAAACAAAAUUAUGAAAAGGCGCGCCUCAUUUAUGGCACCCUUUGGAAUGCACGGCCCAGAUUCAACGCACAUCUCGAGGUAACGUCAUCCAGCCAAACAACACUCAAGCGGCACCACGCGCUGGCUGGAUCAAACGUUCGAAAUCGUACCGAAGCACCUGUCGAUCUCCCAGCCUAACGCCUCAUCCGAUCGGUCGGUCGAAGCAAACUUAGACUUCGGCCGCGUUUGCAACCCGACCGAAGCCUGGGGACAUGUUGGGUUAUAGGCCUCUAGGCCCAAUUCACUAAGGCCCAAAAGAGGUCCGGCCCACUAUUUGAACUCCACCCACGCUCCUAGUCUGCAACGGUCGAAGGGCGGAGAUCCCGCCUCAUUAACACACCAUUACCUCCCUCCCGAAUCGGACGGAAACGUUACAAAGCCCAGGUUCAUCUCCCCCCUAUAUAAAGGAGGUAAAUCAAGGGUAAAGGACAUUCACAUACAUAUUCACAAAUACUCUCAUACACACACACUUACGCUUGCAGUUCCAAAGCCCCUUCUUAGAGCCACUAACUUAUUCUCACGCCGGAGGUGAAUCGGGGGGACAAUCCCUCGCAUUCUUCUCUAUUUCAGGUCACUUUCAGACUUCGGCAUCCGGCAGAACUUUGGCUCCAACAAACAUGAUGUUCAAUUAGAGUUUAAUCCAGUUUCUCAGUUCAUAACAACAUUCUAAUGUUCACGUUUCCACAUAUAUGUGUCAUUCCAUGGCAGCAAAGCAGGCCUGCUGUUCUUCUUGAAUACCCAAGCCGCCAUAUACUUAAAUAGGUUCCUUUAACUGAGCAGUGGUCUUACGAUCAUCAACGUAGCUAAUUCCACUAUAAAUUCCCGAUUAAUCCUUAAAAAAAAAAAUUAUCCGAUAAAUUCCUGAUUAAUCCAUAAAAU